rnacentral:sRNA from 1 species
GCUGGGCGUGAUGGCUCACACCUGUAAUCCCAGCACUCUGGGAGGCCGAGACAGGUGGAUCACCUGAGGUCAGGAGUUCAAGACCAGCCUGACCAACACGGUGAAACCCUGUCUCUA